rnacentral:rRNA from 1 species
AACGUAGGUUCCGAGCGUUAUCCGGAUUUACUGGGCGUAAAGCGCUUUCAGGCGGUUUGGCAAGUCGGGCAUGAAAUCUCUCGGCUCAACCGGGAGAGGUUGUCCGAUACUGCUGGACUUGAGGGCAGUAGAGGGUGGUGGAAUUCCGGGUGUAGUGGUGAAAUGCGUAGAUAUCCGGAGGAACACCAGUGGCGAAAGCGGCCACCUGGACUGCACCUGACGCUGACACGCGAAAGCUAGGGGAGCGAACGGG